GCAGAGGAUUAGGGCCAGUUCGGGUCGCUAGUGUAGGGAAUUACUUGGUGGGGGUUUUAUUCUUGUCAUGAUUCCGUGUUCCAUGUUGUAUUACGAAUCUGUGUGCUUUCCCCUGCUUUCCUCUGUUUUUUUUUCCUGCUUUCCUGCUUUACUCUGUUUUAUAUUCCUUAUGGGUGUCGUAUCUAUGUUAUGUCAUCUGCUUCUGUGCUGUACUAUGUGUUUGUGUGAUAUCUCGUGACUUGAGCCGGGGGUCUUUCGGAAACAGCCUUUCUACUUCAUCAGAGGUAGAGGUAUGGACUGCGUACAUCUUACCCCCCCAGACCCCACUAAGUGGGAAUACACUGGGUUUGUUGUUGUUGUUGUUGUUGGA
rnacentral:lncRNA from 1 species